GGAUCCGUGGGGUAGUUAGGAUAUCCUGCUGGCCUUCGAAGCCGAUGACCCGGGUUCAAAUCCCGGCGGGUCCG
rfam:Ferroplasma sp. Type II genomic scaffold AMDT4_FER2S00028, whole genome shotgun sequence.